GAGGAUAGCUCUUACUGCUAUUUGUAUGUGCAGGCUCGUAUUUUAAAUCUUUCAGGUUUAAUUUCUAAUAUAGUAAAUAUUAAUAGAUACAACACACUAAAAAUACCCGAGAGGCUAAAAUAUGAGAGUGAGACUAGCAGCAAAACACACCCUUUCUGUGAUCUCAGAAUCAAGAUACCUGCAAAACAAUUUGAUGAGAAGAAAAAGAAGUAUAUCUGAAGGAAUGGGGAGGGAGCUGACAGGAAAACCAGAAACUACAGAGAAACUGGAGAAACAGCACAAUGCAGAGAAAAGAAACUAUCUGGAAAGCUCACUCCAGCUCCCAGGUAGCCACCACAAGAGUUGAGGUGGGAGAUAGCAAUAAACAGUUGUGGAGAGGGCACAGGCUACACAGAGCCCACCUGAGAAGUUUAAGACAGAAGGUCACAGGGGCCCCGCCCUCUGAGGAUCCUUUAUCUCACUUUUUGUAUCAGUAUUUACUAGAGAGAUGUAAUACAAGAUAUACAAAUAUACAAGAAUUUACAAGAUUGGCUUACAGUGGCCACCCACAGAGCUGGAUGAGGAACAGUGCAGAGGGUGUCUGCACACGAGAUCGAAGGAUUUAGUAGGUCUGGAGCUCCCUGCAGUGUAACCAUGAGUCUGUAUCAGAUGGCCAAUGGCGUCUGUGAUGGAAGGCUAAAGGAUCUACACUGGAAGCUAAGAGUCUUUGUUGCAAGGCAGGAGAUGAUGUCCAAGGUGAAGACAGAAGUCUCUCCAAAGGAACAGAAGCAGCUACGUCCUUCUUCAUUUCCCCUUUAUAACAUCCAGGGAAGGAGCCCCCCCAUCUCCCAUGCCUUAGGGUGUGGAAUUGCUGAGCUGAUUUAGCUUUUCUUUUCUUUUUUUUCCUUUUUUGGUACUGGGGAUGGAACUCAGGACCUUGAGCUUGUGAGGCAGGUGGCAGAACCACUGAGCUAAAUCCCUGGCUUAGCUAAGCUUUUCUUAACCAAACUUCUCAAGUUGACUGAAUAAUUCAACUAUCACACUUUACUUUUUCUCUUUUCACCUUUUUUCUUUAUUUCUCAG
rnacentral:lncRNA from 1 species